rnacentral:rRNA from 1 species
UUAUGCUGAUAAGAGCGUAUGGUGGAUGCCUUGGCACUAAGAGCCGAUGAAAGACGUGAUAAGCUGCGAAAAGCUUCGGGGAGGAGCAAAUAUCCUUUGAUCCGGAGAUAUCUGAAUGGGGAAACCCACUUGAGCAAACCUCAAGUAUCCUUAAGCCAAUACAUAACUUAAGGAAGGGAACCCGGUGAACUGAAACAUCUAAGUAGCCGGAGGAAGAGAAAACAACAUGUGAUUCUGUGAGUAGCGGCGAGCGAAAACGGAAGAGCCCAAACCGGGAUGCGUGCAUCCCGGGGUUCGGACCGCAUAAUUGAUUCAACAAAUUUAGCAGAACGGUUUUGGGAAAGCCGGCCAGAGAGGGUGAAAGCCCCGUAAGCGAAAGAUGAGUUGACAUGGCGGUAUCCAGAGUAGGUCGAGACACGUGGAACCUUGACUGAAGACGCGGGGACCACCCCGUAAGGCUAAAUACUCCUUAGUGACCGAUAGCGCAUAGUACUGUGAAGGAACGGUGAAAAGGACCCCGGGAGGGGAGUGAAACAGAACCUGAAACCAUAUGUUUACAAGCUGUGGAACCACUUUAUAUGUGGAACCGCGUACUUUUUGUAGAACGGUCCGGCGAGUUGCGCUGGCUGGCGAGGUUAAGCACCAAAGGUGUGGAGCCGAAGGGAAACCAAGUCUUAAUAGGGCGAAUGAGUCAGUCGGAGCAGACCCGAAACCGGGUGAUCUAUCCAUGUCCAGGUUGAAGUUGCCGUAAAAGGCAAUGGAGGACCGAACCCACAUCCGUUGAAAAGGGUGGGGAUGAGGUGUGGAUAGGGGAGAAAUUCCAAUCGAACCCGGAGAUAGCUGGUUCUCCUCGAAAUAGCUUUAGGGCUAGCCUUCAGUUAGUCUGCCGCAGGUAGAGCACUGAAUUUCCUAGGGGGCGUCAAAGCCUACCGAAGAAUAUCAAACUGCGAAUGGCGGACAGAUGAUGCUGGGGAGUCAGACUGCACGAGAUAAGUUGGGUGGUCAAAAGGGAAAGAGCCCAGACCUACAGCUAAGGUCCCAAAGUGCGUGUUAAGUGGAAAAGGAUGUGGGAUUUCGAAGACAACUAGGAUGUUGGCUCAGAAGCAGCCAUACAUUCAAAGAGUGCGUAAUAGCUCACUAGUCGAGAGGUCCUGCGCCGAAAAUGUCCGGGGCUGAAACACACUGCCGAAGCUCAGGAAUGUACCUAGUACAUUGGUAGAGGAGCAUUGUAUACGGGACGAAGCAGUACCGAUAAGGAGCUGUGGACUGUAUAGAAGAGAGAAUGCCGGAAUGAGUAGCGAGAGGAAGGUGAGAAUCCUUCCGGCCGAAUAUCUAAGGUUUCCAGAGUAAAGCUGAUCUGCUCUGGGUAAGUCGGGGCCUAAGGCCAGGUCGAAAGACGUAACCGAUGGACAACAGGUUGAAAUUCCUGUACCUUAAGUAAACAGAACUGUGGGGACACGUGUGGAGAGCACAAGCCGGAAAUGGAAAAGCCGGUGCAAGCGAGGUAGGAGAUGAAUAGGCAAAUCCGUUCAUCAAUCCGAAGACGUGAUGCGGACCGAAUUAAGAGUAGGGAAGUGUGUGAGCCAUGCGUCAAGAAAAGCCGCUAUUGUUUUACUUAAGCCCGUACCGUAAACCGACACAGGUGGAUGAGGAGAGAAUCCUAAGGCCGACGGGAGAAGCAUUGUUAAGGAACUCGGCAAAAUGACUCCGUAACUUCGGGAGAAGGAGUGCCAGCGAGAGCUGGCCGCAGAGAAUUGGCCCAAGCAACUGUUUAGCAAAAACACAGGUCUAUGCAAAACCGUAAGGUGAAGUAUAUGGGCUGACGCCUGCCCGGUGCUGGAAGGUUAAGGGGAGAGGUUAGCGCAAGCGAAGCUUUGAACUUAAGCCCCAGUAAACGGCGGCCGUAACUAUAACGGUCCUAAGGUAGCGAAAUUCCUUGUCGGGUAAGUUCCGACCC